GGUCCUAGUCCUCCUCUUGGUUUUUUCUAAAAUGAUACAUGCAAGUCAUCGACAACCCGGUGAGUAAAUAUAAAAGUAUUCUUCUAAAAGAAGAAUCACCACACCAACGGUAUCAGGAUUCAACAUUGAACCCAUAACACCUAGCAUCCCACAUCUGCAGUACUAAACAUUAUACAAUAUGUACACACUUGAUAUAGUUACAGAAAAAAGGGUUGGUAAAUUAUGUGCCAGCCACCGCGGUUAUACAUAAAACCCUAAUCAAGAACUUAACGGUAAAAAGUGGUUAGAAAGACUCAAUAAAACAUAAAGAAAGAUCCCCUCUAGUAGUAAUAAACUUUAUAGAAAGAUCAAGCACAAAUUAAAAUAAACCUUAUGUUAAUAUUGCUUCUCCAUUUAUUCGAAGCCACUAAAGCUCAAAAAUAAACUGGGAUUAGAUACCCCACUAUAUGAGCCAUAAAACACACUACCCGAGAACUACGAACUAAAGUUUAAAACUCAAAGGACUUGGCGGUUUUUUAGACCUACCUGGAGGAGCUUGCAACCUAACCGAUAACCCACGAAAACCUUUACCAGCA
rnacentral:rRNA from 12 species